UACGAAGGGGGCUAGCGUUGUUCGGAGUUACUGGGCGUAAAGGGCGCGUAGGCGGCGCACCAAGUCAGGCGUGAAAGCCCUGGGCUCAACCCGGGAAUUGCGCUUGAGACUGGUGUGCUUGAGUACGGGAGAGGAUAGUGGAAUUCCCAGUGUAGAGGUGAAAUUCGUAGAUAUUGGGAAGAACACCGGUGGCGAAGGCGGCUAUCUGGACCGUAACUGACGCUGAGGCGCGAAAGCGUGGG
rnacentral:rRNA from 1 species